AAAACAACAGCUUCUUGAUAUUAUAAAUAUCAUUGAGCUUUUGUCAUACUAGGAAGCAUCUUUUGUAUUGACACACUCAAAUACUAUUCAGAAAACAAGCCUUCAAAUCCAGAAAAGAAAUAACAUAAGUGCCUCUGUAGCAGUAACGUCCCCACUGAGGCACAGCAAGCUCACACACUGAGCAUUUUGACAGGAAAACAUGCAGAUAUUUACUUUGGCAACAGCUAGAUUUCACAGUUAUUACUUCCCAGGUCUAAGCUAUAUAGUCAUACGUCUUCCAAAAGAAUAUGCAGGCAGCAAUAUGAAACCCUAGCUUUAAUAAAAUUAUAUCUGUUUCUUUGGUGUGAGCAAAGCUCUCUGCCAAUACAUAAGCAUCUUUUCAUUUGGUUUGCCUGAUGUUGUAUACAAGUGAGAAAUCGGGUUAAUCCAGUAGAGGACAUACCAGUAACAGAGACCUGAUCUCAAUAAGCUUUUGGCAGGCAAAGCUUUACAGUGUGUCUGUUCCUUUCUAGUUAAGGUAGAAGGGAGCUGAUACUAUCGAGAGUGCAGAGCUCUUCAAUUCUCAUCGGAAUGGCUGAUUCGUGCUGCAUAAUGAAAAACCUGCAGGGCACAUCACCCAGCCCCUCACUGGUCAUGCCUGCAGUGUGGCUUUCAUCCAAGCCUGGAAGUGGAAGUGCAGGUGGAAGACCAGGCAAGAGAGAAAAAGGCACAGUCAAGGGACUUUAAGAAGACACGCAGGAUUUGUGUUCAACAUACCAUUAAAGAACUCCAUGCAGGCCGGGUGCGGUGGCUCACACCUGUCAUCCCAGUACUUUGUGGAGGUCCAGGCGGGCAGAUCAUAAGAUCAGGAGAUCGAGACAAUCCUGGCCAACAUGGUGAAACCACGUCUCUACUAAAAUACAAAAAUUAGCUGGGUGUGGUGGCAUGUGCCUGUAGUCCCAGCUACUCAGGAGGCUGAGGCACAAGAAUCGUUGGAACCCAGGACAUGGAGGUUGCAGUGAGCUGAGAUUGCACCACUGCACUCCAGCUUGGUGACAGAGCGAGACUCUCUCUCAAAAAAAAAAGGAACUCUAUGCAAAAGAGUGACAUGAUUUGUAGGGGACAGCUUAGAGAGGGUUGAGAAAGGAUGUAGGGAGACCCAUGGGGGAGUAUUGCCAUAGUCCAAAAGAGAGAAGACAGUGUCUGGGGCUGGAGUUCAAUGUGGAGAUAGAGAAAGUGAAUGGACAUCAGAAAGUUUAGGAGGUAAAAUUGCCAGAAUUGAGGGAUAGGUUGAAUUUGAGAAAUAGAGAAAGGCAUCAAGGAUGUCUGAGUUUCUGACCUGAGCAGCCCAGUGGAUGGCAGUGUCAGGCCAGGCACAGUGGCUCACACCUAUAAUCCCAGCGGUUUG
rnacentral:lncRNA from 13 species